AUAGUUUUAUGAACAUAAAAGUGCAGCAGCUUCAUUGUCUUUGUCAGUAGCCACAUCAGUCCUGUAGUGUCAAUAUUAUGGCAUGCAUUCACCGACACAAACAGCGGUUCUCCGACAGCAGGAGUACAUCGGCUUAUCUCCGCCUCCUCCACAGGCUGAUUCAGGCAGGAAAAUGUGCCUUCAGUCAUCAGCAUAACCCAGACAGGGGACGACAAGGGACGGGAUGGAGGCCGCCACAACAAUACCACCAGCAGCGGCCCGGAGGCAGAUGGAAUCAGGUGACCUGAUGAAGCUCAGGAGUUCCUGGACCCAUCAGAGGACAGAGACAGCUGCAGCAUCAGGACACUCUGGGUAUCCAAAGGAAGACUCAUCAAGAUGAACACUGACUGCAGAGCUCCAUUACCAGCUCACACUUCAGUAUACUAGAAACCACCUUGAUGGAGAACAUGAUCUGCACAGUUUACAUAAAAGUUCUAGCUUUGUUACUUGCAACAUGUGUAACUGGAAUUUGAAUGAAACAUAAAGUGUUUUAGUUCUACAAGA